rnacentral:tRNA from 1 species
GCCGACGUCGCAUAACCUGGUAUUGCGGCAGUCUCGAACACUGCUGCCAAAAGGCUUCUCGGUUCAAAUAUUGAUGCUCGAAGAGCGAAAUACCUUCGAACAUCAGUGAGAAAGUCCGAGCGUCGGCG